UCCCUGGUGGCUCAGAGGUUAAAGCAUCUGCCUGCAAUGUGGGAGACCUGGGUUCGAUCCUAGGUCAGGAAG
rnacentral:tRNA from 1 species